rnacentral:rRNA from 1 species
UACGGGGGGAGCAAGCGUUGUUCGGAUUUACUGGGCGUAAAGGGCGCGUAGGCGGUCAGCACAAGUCAGUUGUGAAAUCUCCGGGCUUAACUCGGAAAGGUCAACUGAUACUGUGCGACUAGAGUGCAGAAGGGGCAACUGGAAUUCUCGGCGUAGCGGUGAAAUGCGUAGAUAUCGAGAGGAACACCUGCGGCGAAGGCGGGUUGCUGGGCUGACACUGACGCUGAGGCGCGAAAGCCAGGGGAGCGAACGGG